rnacentral:rRNA from 1 species
GAGAUACCACCCUUGCUCUGCUUGAAGUCUAACCGCGGCCCGUUAUCCGGGUCCGGGACAGUGUAUGGUGGGUAGUUUGACUGGGGCGGUCGCCUCCCAAAAAGUAACGGAGGCGCGCGAUGGUUCCCUCAGGCUGAUUGGAAACCAGCCGAAGAGUGCAAAGGCAGAAGGGAGCUUGACUGCGAGACCUACAAGUCGAGCAGGUGCGAAAGCAGGUCUUAGUGAUCCGGUGGUUCUGUGUGGAAGGGCCAUCGCU